GAUGAACGCUGGCGGCGUGCUUAACACAUGCAAGUCGAACGAAGCAUUUCCUUUUCUUCGGAAAAGGAAAUGACUGAGUGGCGGACGGGUGAGUAACGCGUGGGUAACCUGCCUCAUACAGGGGGAUAACAGCUGGAAACGGCUGCUAAUACCGCAUAAGCGCACAAUGCUGCAUGGCAUAGUGUGAAAAACUCUGGUGGUAUGAGAUGGACCUGCGUCUGAUUAGCUAGUUGGUAAGGUAAUGGCUUACCAAGGCGACGAUCAGUAGCCGACCUGAGAGGGUGACCGGCCACAUUGGGACUGAGACACGGCCCAAACUCCUACGGGAGGCAGCAGUGGGGAAUAUUGCACAAUGGGCGAAAGCCUGAUGCAGCGACGCCGCGUGAGCGAAGAAGUAUUUCGGUAUGUAAAGCUCUAUCAGCAGGGAAGAAAAAAAUGACGGUACCUGACUAAGAAGCACCGGCUAAAUACGUGCCAGCCGCCGCUGUAACAC
rnacentral:rRNA from 1 species